AUUGAACGCUGGCGGCAGGCCUAACACAUGCAAGUCGAGCGAGCGGCGGACGGGUGAGGAAUGUAUGGGGACUGCCCGAUAGAGGGGGAUAACGACUGGGAACGGUAGCUAAUACCGCAUACCAACGGAUAACUCAUAUGGGUUUAGCUAGUAGGUGAGGUAAUGGCUCACCUAGGCGACAAUCCCUAGCUGGUCUGAGAGGAUGAUCAGCCACACUGGGACUGAGACACGGCCCAGACUCCUACGGAGGCAGCAGUGGGGAAUAUUGCACAAUGGGCGCAAGCCUGAUGCAGCCAUGCCGCGUGUGUGAAGAAGGCCUUAGGGUUGUAAAGCACUUUCAGUCGGGAGGCGUUACCGACAGAAGAAGCACCGGCUAACUCCGUGCCAGCAGCCGCGGUAAUUC
rnacentral:rRNA from 1 species